GGUUGAGCUGGACCUGCCAAGAGC
rnacentral:piRNA from 1 species